GAUGAACGCUGGCGGCGUGCCUAAUACAUGCAAGUCGAGCGAACAGACGAGGAGCUUGCUCCUCUGACGUUAGCGGCGGACGGGUGAGUAACACGUGGAUAACCUACCUAUAAGACUGGGAUAACUUCGGGAAACCGGAGCUAAUACCGGAUAAUAUAUUGAACCGCAUGGUUCAAUAGUGAAAGACGGUUUUGCUGUCACUUAUAGAUGGAUCCGCGCCGCAUUAGCUAGUUGGUAAGGUAACGGCUUACCAAGGCAACGAUGCGUAGCCGACCUGAGAGGGUGAUCGGCCACACUGGAACUGAGACACGGUCCAGACUCCUACGGGAGGCAGCAGUAGGGAAUCUUCCGCAAUGGGCGAAAGCCUGACGGAGCAACGCCGCGUGAGUGAUGAAGGUCUUCGGCUCGUAAAACUCUGUUAUUAGGGAAGAACAAAUGUGUAAGUAACUAUGCACGUCUUGACGGUACCUAAUCAGAAAGCCACGGCUAACUACGUG
rnacentral:rRNA from 1 species